CUGAACAACCUGCUCCUGAAUGACUACUGGGUAAAUAACGAAAUUAAAGCUGAAAUAAAUAAUUCUGUGAAACUAAUGAGAAGAAAGAUACAAUGUACUAGAAUCUCUGGGACACAGCUAAGGCAGUGUUAAGAGGGAAACUUACAGCACUAAAAUGCCCACAUCAAAAAGCUGGAAGGAUCUCAAGUUAAUGAUCUAACAACUAAAAGAAAUAAAGAACCAGGAAGAAACAAAUCCCAAAGCUAGAAGUCAAGAAACAGGUAAAAUCAGAGCUUAACUGAAGCAUAUAGAGACAUGAAAAGAUUCAUUCAAAAGAUCAACGAAUCAAGAAGCCAGUUUUUUGAAAAGAUAAAAUAGGCCACUA